UCUGGCUUAUAGCCAAGCGGUCUCAGUAGAGUGCCCAACUGAAUGCUGGCAACUACUGACGAGGGUUGCGCUCGUUGCGGGACUUAACCCAACAUCUCACAACACGAGCUGACGACAGCCAUGCAGCACCUGUCUCCGCGUCUCCGAAGAGAACACCGACUUUCAUCGGCUAGCACGGGAUGUCAAGCCUAGGUAAGGUUUUUCGCGUAGCAUCGAAUUAAACCACAUGCUCCACCGCUUGUGCGGGCCCCCGUCAAUUCCUUUGAGUUUUAAUCUUGCGACCGUACUUCCCAGGCGGGAUACUUAAUGCGUUAGCUUCGUUACCAACACUAUUAGGAAUGCUGACAACUAGUAUCCAUCGUUUAGGGCGUGGACUAC
rnacentral:misc_RNA from 1 species